UAGGGAAUAUUGCACAAUGGAGGAAACUCUGAUGCAGCGACGCCGCGUGAGUGAUGAAGGCCUUCGGGUCGUAAAGCUCUGUCGCAGGGGAAUAACACAAUGAAUGUACCCUGUAAGAAAGGAUCGGCUAACUUCGUGCCAGCAGCCGCGGUAAGACGAGGGAUCCUAGCGUUGUUCGGAAUCAUUGGGCGUAAAGCGGGUGUAGGUGGCUAUGUAAGUCAGGUGUGAAAGCCUAGGGCUCAACCCUAGAAGUGCAUUUGAUACUGCGUAGCUUGAGUGCUAGAGAGGUUACUAGAAUUGUUGGUGUAGUGGUGAAAUACGUAGAUAUCAACAGGAAUACCGGUGGCGAAGGCGGGUAACUGGCUAGACACUGACACUCAGACCCGAAAGCGUGGGGAUCAAACA
rnacentral:rRNA from 1 species